rnacentral:lncRNA from 1 species
AUGCUGGUGCACAUGGGACAGGGCCCUCUGGCUCCCCGGACAGGGCCACGCUGGGCACGUGACCAUCUCCCUCUGCUUCUCCUUGGCCUGAUGGGAAGCGGGUCUGGGGUAAAGGGAAAAGCCUACCUGUCUGGAAAAGCACAUGGGAUUAUGGAUGUGCUCCCUGAUUUAGAAAGCAUCGAACUGCCGCAAGUGGGGCACAGAUGUGUCGACUGGAAAAGAAUCCCUGUCGUUGAAGGUGAACUCAUUCAGUUCUGUUGCGCACCUCCCACGAGCCAGCUCGCCAGGGAGGAGCGCGCUGAGCACUUGUACUUCUCCGCGGAGGUGCUCUCUCCUGAACCACCUCUUCCAGGAGAAGAACCUCAAGGGGAGGGAGAAGACAUGAACCCCAGCAGAAAAAUGUUGAACCAACCAUCCGGCUCUCGGAGACUGCAGUUCAGAUCUACCACUUUUUCCCCAGCAUAUUACCUAACCUCUUUGAGCUCCCCCACCCCCUUUUUUUUUUUUUUUAAUUUGCAGAUGGAACAAGACCCAACUGCCUCACUGGUUUAUUGUGGGGAGGAGAUGAAAUCAGGGAGGCGUCCCCUGGGCGGGGGCAUCCUUCGCCCCCAGGCGCGCGCGGAGCAGGGCCCUCCCGGCAACCAAGGCUGCGGGCUGCGCGCUCGGCUCACCCUGGCCGCGGGGCGGGGGCUGCGGGGCUCUGGGGGUCCAGGGGGGUCCAGGCCCGCCGUCCCUCCCGCGCUCCUCUGCCUGCGGCUCGGGGGCCUCGAGGGGAGCCCCCGCGGGGGGCGGGCGGACGUGCCGGGGUGUCCCCGCGGCUGGGCACCCACGCCAGCACCCGGGAGACCCGCCCCGCGCGCGGAGGCCGCCCCGGCACGCGCACCCCUCCCGGCGCCGCGGGUCCCCCGUCUCCUCGGGCCGCCCCGGGGGCGCGAAGGUCAAGGUCCCCAUCGCGGGUCUCCGCGCAGGGCCUGCGGGAGGGCGAGACGCGCAUCCCCGGAGUCCGCGGCCCCCGCGCGCCGCCCCGUCUGCGCACCUGCGCUCCUGCGCGCCCCGGGCCCCGGCGCCCGCUCCCCGACGGCGGCCCCCGGGAGUCCCGCGCUCGGUUACCUGGGCUCCGGGGGUCGCCCGCGGCCGGGACAGUCCUCCGGGGCCGCCGGGGCCCCCAGCCACGCGGGCGCUGCACCUGGCCCGGCCGGUCCGCGCGCCUCCCCGCGGGUCCCGCCCCCGGGGCCCUCCGGCGCAGGGCGGGGCGGGGCGCGCCGGGCCUGGGGGGCGGGGCCGAGGGCAGGGGGCACCCCCACACCCACACCCACACCCCACACCCCCGCGCCCGCCCGCGUGCCCCCGACGCCCGCCCCGCGCCCCGCCCGCCUCCCGAGGCGCCGCAGCAUCCGCGGCAGGUGCAGUCGCGAGGGGCGCACGGGCCCUCCGGCCCCUGGACCCCUGGGCGCGCCCCACGGCCCCCACCCCCGCUCCGGGCCGAGGGCGGGCAGCCUGCCCUUCCGAAGAAUGCGCGGGGUGGAGCCCAGGGAAGGGAAAGAAACAACAGGGUACCCGCAGCCCCACCCCGCCCCGCCUCCCGCGCCCGCCGGCUCUCUCCGGAAUGCCCCUGCCCUGCCCAGCUCUGCCAACCUCAGCCUUGCCCAGGGCUCCGCUUGCUUCCCGGCGCUGGAAGGCGCUGGGCCUGGCUGUCUGCCACUCAGUGGACACGGCGAAAGAGUUGAAGGGACACAGGGGACAAAAAAAAAAAAAAGCAACAGCCACGCAGCCUGUGUGGUGGCUACUCCCAGGUGCUGAAGGGACAGGUUGCAGCUACUUCCUGCCUGCCCACCCCCCCCCCCCCCCCACACACACACACGGGAAUUCUGGAAAAUGCACCCUUUGGAUAAAACUUCCAGACUGAAAUUGGGGUUGUCCUUCCUCCCCCUCGCCCAGGCUUCCUGAGUCCUCUCUGCUUCCCGCCUUGGGGGACACAGUGGAAGGGGCACGGGCCUGGGAGCCCAGAGGCCUCCACUUAGCUCUGUGACCUUGGACCGGUCUCUAUCCCUUUCUGAGCCUCAGUGUCCCCAUUUGCUGCAGUGGAUUAUCUCUAAGGCCCUUUUUAUGGAUCCCGAAGUGUGCUAUUGGCAUCUUGUGUAGGUUUUCCUGUAGCUUCGCCUCAUAAAGGAGUGAGUGUAUGUGCGCGGGUCUCUGUCUAGACUGUCCUUUCAGGUGUAAGUUCUCGAAGGGAAGGGACGAGGCCACGCAAUCAGGCAGCCAGCCUGUGCAAAGCGGAGCUUGACAAGACUGAUCAGCGUAGGGAGAGCGGAUCCCAGCCCCAGCUUUGGCUGAACGCGGAGUGGCCUCGGACAAGUCCCUCGUUAAUAACCCAAGGGUUUGGGGGACUAAAUGACAUAGGAGAUGUGAAGCCCUUUGAAGGGGAAGGCAAGGCAAGGGGCUGUGUGCUUUCUGAUGUCAUCUCUUGAUGCCUGUGACAGUGAUGGGCUCCAGAGGCAGAACAGGGUGUGAGGUGUUCUGUGUUCCCCACCCUGCAGAAGCUGCGCAUGCAGGGAACAGAGACAGCCUCUGCACCCCCCUCCCCCCGCCCCCCGCAGGCUCCUGCCUGCUGCAGGGCUCUCAGGGACUGAAGAGGGAAGAUUAAGAGUCUCCCAAAACCUGAAGGAGGGUGGUUUGUGGAUUGCUCCUUAAUUCAGCAGCAUGUCUUGGCCAAACACCUGGUUGGCAGGUGCCUGCAGCCCGACACGUCUGCUGCAGGGAGAGGAGAGCCUAGCCGAAUGGCAGAACAGGACCCCCUGGAGAAGGAUGUGGAGCGAAGAGGGCUGCUGUGGAGGCAUACAGGGAGGGCUUUCGACCACGUGGAGAAGAAUUUAGGGAGUAUUGGGCUCAACACCCCUCCAGAGGGGAGGAGUGAUGUGCCCAAGAUCACACGGUCAGCAAAGGUUGCGGAGCUAGGACUUGAACCAGAACGUCAGGACUCUGUACAGGGUUGGGGACCCAACCUGUGCGGCUCGAAAGAACUGGGAGCAUGGGAAGGACUGGGAAUGUUCCAGUGACUGAGAAGAAUAUUCUAGCCCAGGAGGAGGAGCUGAGCCAAGGUACAAAGAUGGGGAGAGAGAGGAGGGUGCCAGAGUCCCAGGGAGGUUGUGCAAAGCCAGGCUGGGAACUGCAGACCUUGGAGGAUUUUGAGGCUACACCAGUUGGGAGGUAGAGGCACAGGACAUUUCCUGGAGAGACACCGACCCCAAAUUACCCCAUGAGGCAGCAGAUGCCACGUCAGGAAGGCAGUGAGGUGACAUGGAAAGAGCACCAGUUUUUCUUACCUGUAGGGUGGGGGUGGGGGGGUCAGAAUCUUGUCCCCUGCAGGGUUAUUGUGGUGACCACAGAUUGCAUUUGGAAGUGCGCUGUGCGCUACAGAGUGCUGAGCGAAUUAAAGGUUUUGUUGUUUUCUCUUCAAGGACCUCAGUGAACAUUUGUGGAACUGACCCACGCUGGGCUGGGCGCUGCCUCUCUUCUUGGCAAGGAGAAGAUGGGCCACAAAACGGGGUGCGUCUGCAAGUGAUCAGAGGGACCGUGGGAGGGGAAAGACAAGGGCUUGUCAUUCAAGUGUCAGUUCUCCCUGGGACACUUUCACAACACGAUGCAAAUACCCUUUUGGGGAAGACGGUUCUUCUCCAUCCAUAUGCCUUGGAGUCUCUCACAGCUCCCCUUGCCCUCCCUGGCACCUGGGUGUGCAGGAUGCCCAGCGUCAGAAGUCCUUCUCCCAGCCAGGAGCCUACUCCGCAGGGGGCUGGCCAGCUCCUCCUGGAGGGGCCCAGAUCCUCUGUCCUCUUUGUCCCAAAGGCGUCAUCAGACAGCAGGAACCGUGCACCUGCCCUUCACAUCAGGACUCAGGCGCCUCGUGCAUUCUCCCUCCUCUCACAGCCGACCCUCACUCAGCUCCCAGGUUCUGUCCCUCCCCUCGGGUCCCCUGAGAUGGAAUCUUCAGGCCAGGCUUAUGGCUCCACUUUGCAGAUGAGAAAACUGAGGCCACAGUCAGGGAGAGGGGCCAGCACUGCCCAACAGCACCUCUGGUAAAGCUCUUUCCUUGCCUCGUCGGGACUGGAAGUAUUAGGCUCGUCCCAUGGGAGAAGAAGUGGUCCUCAGGGGCGCUGCGUGAUCGAGGAGGACUCCAAGAGCUCCCCUUUGGGCCACUGAGAUCUGCACCUUGGCCUCCUAAGGUGGUCUGAACAGAUCACCACAGAUGCAGUGGCCUAAAGUCGCAGAAAUGUACUCUCCUGCUAUCCUGGGGGCUACAAGUCUCAAAUCCAGGUGUCAGCAGGGCCACACACUCUUCGAAAUUUCCAUAGGACACUGAGUCUCUUCCAGUUUCUCGGGGCUCCAGGAGGUUCCGGGCUUGUGAUGGCACGACUCCAGUCACACAGCCUUCUCCCCUGUGUCUCUGUGUCCUCUCUUAUUUGUAUAAGGGCUCACCACUGCCUUCAGGGGGAGCUCAUCUCAAGAUCCUUAACUACAUCCGCAAAGACACUUUUCCCCAAAUAAAUUCAGUCACAGGGACUGGAAGUUAGGACACGGUGUUGUCUUUUUAGGGGACGCCGUUCAGCCCAAUACGAUGUCUUUCCUCCUACUGGGGACCUUGCACGGUCCCUCAAUUUCUCACCACCUCUCAGCUGCCUGGCAGAGGGACUCCUACGGCAUGUUGCCCCACUAGGUUGUUUAGGGAGGAGAUAGGAGGCUAUAGCCACGUGGGGACCUUGCUGUGGGGGUGAGUUGGGGGACUCACCUCCUUUGGAUUCCUGUCCCAGCACCUCCCAGUCUGCCUAUUGCUGUUUCAACAGCACCCUUUGUGCCUCUUUCUCUAACGCCUCUCCACUAUGGGGUACCUAUGGGAGAGAUGCCCUCUAGGAGGACGUGCUCACUGCGCCCUAUGCCCCAGCCUCUCUGCUAAUGCCCGGCCCGACAGCCACCAAGCUGUGAGGAGUGACAAAGCUUUGUAUUCCUUACAGAGAUCUCAGCCGCCCAGGCGACCCCUCCCCAGGUGUGGAUGCGGUCCUCAGAGCAGGAUCGAGGGAACUGGUGCGUGUGGAGGGGAAGAUGCUGAGAGGGGAGGAGGGUGACCGCCCCCUUCCCUCGCCCGGGCCAGGGCCAGGCCACAGGACCAUGCUUAGGGCCCGCACUCCUGCCUCCCCAGGGGAAGACCACAAGGGCUGUCAUCUCGGGUACCUGGAGGAAGCCCCAGGCUGCCCCGCCGGGUGGGGUUCUCAGGGCCAGGAUCCAUCAAGAACCAGAGAGUCGGGACCCCUGGGUGGCGCAGCGGUUUGGCGCCUGCCUUUGGCCCAGGGCGCGAUCCUGGAGACCCGGGAUCGAAUCCCACAUCGGGCUCCCGGUGCAUGGAGCCUGCUUCUCCCUCUGCCUAUGUCUCUGCCUCUCUCUCUCUCUCUCUCUGUGACUAUCAUAAAUGAAUAAAAAUUAAAAAAAAAAAAAAAAAAGAACCAGAGAGUCUGGAAGGGCCUUCUGGGUCAUUUGACCUAAGGAGUAAAGAUGCUCAGGGAGAAGCAGCAGAGACGCCGUGGGGGAGCCCCACAGACCACUGGUGUCUCACACACGAGCGUCCUAGGCCAGACCAGAUCUGUGCGGCCGCCGGGGGCCCGCAAUCCUCUAUACAAGGGGCUUGGGCCACCCCGGUUUGCAAGGGGAGGGCGACAGGACUGCAGCAGCAGAGAAGUGCACGGAUCUGUUAGGGUGGAGGGUGUCUUUGGGUGGCUGGGCGGGGGGCACACAUGGAGAUGAUAAAGGGGAUUAGCCCCUGCCCCCCAAACACCAUCAUAACCCACAGUAACCUCUGUCUUCUCCUCGUGGCCUCAGAGGGCCUCUGUCCCCGCAUCCAAAAAUGCCCUACCAAGAAAAUGUAAGAUCUAAUCCAGUGGUUCUCAGUCCUGCCAGACGUCAGCACGAGCCCCCAGUUGAAUCCAAAUCUCUGGAGGCGAGGCCUGGGGCUUCUUGAAGGUUCCCCAGGUGGUUCUGAGGAGCAGCCAGUGUGGAGAAAUGUUAGUCCACCCCCUGGGGCUGCCUGACACGCGGUGCGCCUACAGUGUGUCCUCAGCAACCUGCCCGCAGUGCCCUGGGUUGGGCCCAGUGCGUGGCAAAUACCCACCCAGAUAUGGGGGGGGCCUGCCCUGCCGGCUCCAGCGCGCAGCAUGCUGGUGUGCUUGCCCCAGCAGAGACUGAGCUGCACUUCCUACCUGAGUGGGGGGCCACCUGUGCACAUGGCCAGCGCUUCCCUGGGUUUCUCCUUCUGCUGUCCCCCUGAGCUCCAUGCACCAGGUGUGGACGCAGCACCUGCUGGAG